AUGGCGGCGGCGGGCUCCUCCAGGCGCGGGCCGAUGGACGACGACAAGCUGAACUUCGAGACCUCGGCGGGGGUGGAUGUCGUGGGAAGCUUCGACGCGAUGGGCAUCCGCGAGGACCUGCUCCGCGGCAUCUACGGCUACGGCUUCGAGAAGCCCUCUGCCAUCCAACAGCGCGCCGUCGUCCCCAUCAUCGCCGGCCGCGACGUCAUCGCCCAGGCCCAGUCCGGCACCGGCAAGACCUCCAUGGUCUCCCUCUCCGUCUGCCAGGUCAUCGACACCAACAUCCACGAGGUGCAAGCAUUGAUACUGUCACCAACUAGGGAACUGGCCACACAAACAGAGAGGGUGAUGCAAGCUGUUGGGAACUACAUGAGUGUCUCUGUGCAUGCCUGUGUCGGUGGCAAAAGUAUCGGUGAGGAUAUUAGGAAGCUUGAGGCUGGAGUGCAUGUUGUUUCAGGAACCCCAGGCAGAGUAUGUGAUAUGAUCAAGAGAAGGACCUUGCGCACAAGAGCCAUCAAGCUCCUAGUCCUGGAUGAAGCCGAUGAGAUGUUGACCAGAGGUUUUAAGGAUCAGAUCUAUGAUGUCUACAGAUACCUCCCCCCAGAACUUCAGAUAACUAGCAAGUUCAUGACUGAUCCAGUCAGGAUCCUUGUAAAGCGUGAUGAGUUGACCCUAGAGGGCAUGAAACAAUUCUUUGUUGCUGUUGAGAAGGAAGAGUGGAAGUUUGAUACGCUGUGCGAUCUUUAUGAUACACUGACCAUCACCCAGGCUGUCAUUUUCUGCAAUACUAAGAGAAAGGUGGAUUGGCUUACUGAAAGGAUGCGCACCAACAACUUUACAGUAUCAGCUAUGCAUGGUGACAUGCCUCAAAAGGAAAGGGAUGCGAUUAUGAGUGAGUUCAGGAGUGGCACGACCCGUGUUCUGAUCACAACAGAUGUUUGGGCUCGAGGGCUGGAUGUUCAGCAGGUCUCUCUUGUCAUUAAUUAUGAUCUCCCGAAUAAUCGUGAGCUUUACAUCCAUCGCAUCGGUCGCUCUGGGCGUUUUGGGCGCAAGGGUGUGGCGAUCAACUUUGUGCGCAAGGACGACAUCCGCAUCCUGAGGGACAUUGAGCAGUACUACAGCACGCAGAUCGAUGAGAUGCCGAUGAACGUCGCCGAUUUGAUCUGA
rnacentral:rRNA from 1 species